rnacentral:sRNA from 1 species
UGAUAUUGGUCUUUGAUUACGAACUGGU